AUUGAACGCUGGCGGCAUGCCUUACACAUGCAAGUCGAACGGUAACAGGUCUUCGGAUGCUGACGAGUGGCGAACGGGUGAGUAAUACAUCGGAACGUGCCCAGACGUGGGGGAUAACGAGGCGAAAGCUUUGCUAAUACCGCAUACGAUCUAAGGAUGAAAGCAGGGGACCGCAAGGCCUUGUGCGUUUGGAGCGGCCGAUGGCAGAUUAGGUAGUUGGUGGGUUAAAAGCUUACCAAGCCGACGAUCUGUAGCUGGUCUGAGAGGACGACCAGCCACACUGGGACUGAGACACGGCCCAGACUCCUACGGGAGGCAGCAGUGGGGAAUUUUGGACAAUGGGCGAAAGCCUGAUCCAGCAAUGCCGCGUGCAGGAUGAAGGCCUUCGGGUUGUAAACUGCUUUUGUACGGAACGAAAAGGCUCUGGCUAAUACCUGGGGCACAUGACGGUACCGUAAGAAUAAGCACCGGCUAACUACGUG
rnacentral:rRNA from 1 species